GAUGAACGCUGGCGGCGUGCCUAAUACAUGCAAGUCGAACGGUAAUACUUUAUCGCCGGGUUCUUUCACUCACCGAUACAGAGUUGAGUGGAGAACGGGUGAGUAACCCGGGGGCAACCUGCCCAAUAGAGGGGAAUAACGCUUGUAAACAGGUACUAAUACCGCAUAACGAUAGUUACCGCAGGGUAACUAGGUAAAAGGUGGCUCUACUAGCGCUUUGGUAGGGGCGCGGGGCGCAUCAGCUAGUUGGUAGGGUAACGGCUUACCAAGGCAAUGAUGCGUAGCCGAAUUGAGAGGUUGAUCGGCCACAUUGGAACUGAGACACGGACCAAACUCCUACGGGAGGCAGCAGUAGGGAAUAUUGCACAAUGGGCGAAAGCCUGAUGGAGCAACGCCGCGUGUGUGAAGAAGGUCUUCGGAUCGUAAAGACCUGUUGUUGGAGAAGAAAGUGCGUGAGAGUAAACGUUCACGUAUUGACGGUACCUAACGAGAAAGCACCGGCUAACUACGUG
rnacentral:rRNA from 1 species